rnacentral:rRNA from 1 species
UACAGAGGUCCCAAGCGUUGUUCGGAUUCACUGGGCGUAAAGGGUGCGUAGGUGGUGAGGUAAGUCGGAUGUGAAAUCUCGGAGCUCAACUCCGAAAUGGCAUUGGAAACUACCUUGCUUGAGGUUUGGAGGGGGGACUGGAAUUCUCGGUGUAGCAGUGAAAUGCGUAGAUAUCGAGAGGAACACCAGUGGCGAAGGCGAGUCUCUGGACAUUUCCUGACGCUGAGGCACGAAAGCCAGGGGAGCAAACGGG